rnacentral:rRNA from 1 species
GACAGAGGGUGCAAACGUUGUUCGGAAUUACUGGGCGUAAAGCGCGUGUAGGCUGCUUCGCAAGUCGGAUGUGAAAGCCCUGGGCUCAACCCGAGGAAGUGCAUUCGAAACUGCAGAGCUGGAGUCCUGGAGAGGAAGGCGGAAUUCUCGGUGUAGCGGUGAAAUGCGCAGAUAUCGGGAAGAACACCCGUGGCGAAGGCGGCUCUCUGGGACGGUACUGACGCUGAGACGCGAAAGCGUGGGGAGCGAACAGG